rnacentral:rRNA from 1 species
GUUUAAGCAUGCAAGUCGAGCGGCAAGGGCCUUCGGGCCCCUAGAGCGGCGGACGGGUGAGUAACACGUGGACAAUCUGCCCCCCGGCCCCGGGAUAGCCCAGGGAAACCUGGAUUAAUACCGGAUGAGACGGGACCCGCGAUGGCGGGACCCGGGAAAGGCGCUGCGGCGCCGCCGGGGGAUGAGUCUGCGUCCCAUUAGCUAGACGGCGGGGUAACGGCCCACCGUGGCGACGAUGGGUAGCCGGCCUGAGAGGGUGGACGGCCACAUUGGAACUGAGACACGGUCCAGACUCCUACGGGAGGCAGCAGCUAAGAAUCUUCCGCAAUGGGCGAAAGCCUGACGGAGCCGACGCCGCGUGAACGAAGAAGGCCGUGAGGUUGUAAAGUUCUUUUCGGGAGGGGGAACAACCGUGGCAGGGAAUGGCCGCGGGAUGACGUGAAUCCCGGAAUAAGCCCCGGCUAACUACGUGCCAGCCGCCGC